UACGUACUGUGCGAACGUUAUUCGGAAUCACUGGGCUUAAAGGGUGCGUAGGCGGCCUGUUAAGUAGGGUGUGAAAUGCCAGAGCUCAACUUUGGCAUUGCGCUCUAGACUGGCUGGCUUGAGUGAGAUAGGGGUGUGCGGAACUUCCAGUGGAGCGGUGAAAUGUGUUGAUAUUGGAAGGAACGCCGGUGGCGAAAGCGGCACACUGGGUCUUAACUGACGCUGAUGCACGAAAGCCAGGGGAGCGAACGGG
rnacentral:rRNA from 2 species